GGAGAUGGCAGCAACAAGGCCACAGAGAGUGAAAAUAAAUCACAAACAUGAUGCCAUUUAUUAUUGCUCCUUAGGUGAAGAUAAGGAAGGAUUUGAAAUAAAAUAUGUUAAUUCAUUUAAAGGUUGGGGUGUGUUCAGCUGCUGGUGCUUUCAAAAAGAAGAUUUCCUUAUUGAGUACAGAGGGGAAGUCAUAAAUAGAAAGGAACAAGAAAACCGAUUGAAAGUUUACCAUGAUGCACUUAAGGUUUUUAUGUUUGAUUUCCGGUUCAAUGGACAAUAGUUAUGUGUUGAUGCUGCCAGAGAGGAUGGAUCAUUAGGGAGACUGGUAAAUGAUCAUGCAGUGAAUCCAAACAGCAAAAUGAAAGUUACAAGAGUGGAUGGAAGACCCCAUCUCUGUUUAUUUGCACUCAAAGAUAUUGGUCCAGGGGAAGAAGUCACUUAUAAUUGUGGUGAUUCUGACUGGCCGUGGAGAAGCAAGGUCUCCAAAGAGAUGCCCUGUCAGGUUGCUGAUGUGGACGCAUGCAGAUCCCCUUCAGGCAACACACCAGAGCAUCUCUAGAAAUGCUAGGAGAGCCAAAAAGCAUCCAUGGUCUCCCGUGGAAGUUACCGCGGUCAUGCGACAUUUUACCGAACAAAUCAAAAAAGGAAAACUGGUCACUAUGAUUGAAUGCCAGCAAUGCAAGAAGGCUGAAGAUCCUGCUCUGGCUGGUCGCUCUAUCCAAAACAAAAGAGAUUUUGUAAGGAAUUGGGGCAUAACUAUGAAAAGAAUACAAAAUCCUGGAUAGAAUAUGGGAAUGUGAUUAAUUGUCCAUCAGUGAUAUCAUUAGGACACAUGGGAUGUUAAGGGUUAGAUCAGAAGUAAUCUCUGUGUUCUGAUGAUAUCACUGGUGGACAAUUUAAAUAUUUCAUCUUGUGGAGGCAGGAGGAGAGUUAAUGGUGUUCCAGUUAUAAUGGCAAACUGGCUGUUGAACAAACGUUUUACAGUGUAUAUUGUUUGGUGUGGAUUGGUUACUGUACUUUUCAUGCAAAAAGAUUCAGUUUUAUUUCUAAUUUGAGACAAUGGGUAAGUUCAUCUUGUUCACUCAAUUUGUUUAAUCUGUGCAGUCCACUUCUUUUUGUUUAGUUAUAUUCCAUUUAUACAUGUUUGGCCUUUUUAAUACACAGAAAUUUCAUGUUUGUGUACGUGUAUGGCCGUGGUCCUGACAAAUAAAUUUGGCCCUGGCAAUUACUGUUUGUGUCAUGGGCGGAGCUAAGUACCUCA